CCCUAGUAACGGCGAGUGAAGCGGCAACAGCUCAAAUUUGAAAUCUGGCGUCUUUGGCGUCCGAGUUGUAAUUUGCAGAGGGCGCUUUGGCAUUGGCAGCGGUCCAAGUUCCUUGGAACAGGACGUCACAGAGGGUGAGAAUCCCGUACGUGGUCGCUAGCCUUUACCGUGUAAAGCCCCUUCGACGAGUCGAGUUGUUUGGGAAUGCAGCUCUAAAUGGGAGGUAAAUUUCUUCUAAAGCUAAAUACUGGCCAGAGACCGAUAGCGCACAAGUAGAGUGAUCGAAAGAUGAAAAGCACUUUGGAAAGAGAGUUAAAAAGCACGUGAAAUUGUUGAAAGGGAAGCGCUUGCAGCCAGACUUGCCUGUAGUUGCUCAUCCGGGUUUUUACCCGGUGCACUCUUCUAUAGGCAGGCCAGCAUCAGUUUGGGCGGUUGGAUAAAGGUCUCUGUCAUGUACCUCUCUUCGGGGAGAACUUAUAGGGGAGACGACAUGCAACCAGCCUGGACUGAGGUCCGCGCAUCUGCUAGGAUGCUGGCGUAAUGGCUGUAAGCGGCCCGUCUUGAAACACGGACCAAGGAGUCUAACAUCUAUGCGAGUGUUUGGGUGUCAAGCCCGAGCGCGUAAUGAAAGUGAACGGAGGUGGGAACCCCUCGGGGUGCACCAUCGACCGAUCCUGAUGUCUUCGGAUGGAUUUGAGUAAGAGCAUAGCUGUUGGGACCCGAAAGAUGGUGAACUAUGCUUGAAUAGGGUGAAGCCAGAGGAAACUCUGGUGGAGGCUCGCAGCGGUUCUGACGUGCAAAUCGAUCGUCAAAUUUGGGCAUAGGGGCGAAAGA
rnacentral:rRNA from 1 species